GUGAGUAUGCUGGAAUGCCUGAUSGUAGGGGAUAACUAUGGAAAGGUAGCUAAUACAGCAUAACGUCKCAAGAYCGAAAGUAGGGGGACUUNGCUCUGCCAUYAGAUGUGCCCAUAUGGGAUUAGCUAGUUAGGUGGGGUAAHGGCUCACCU
rnacentral:rRNA from 1 species